rnacentral:lncRNA from 1 species
UUCUGGACCUCAUCAAGGCCUUGGCCUUAGGAAACGUAGAAAGUCUUGUGAGGUGACUACACUUCCUUGCCCGUCACAGUGCUCAGCGUCCAGCGACAAUAAACCCCUGAAGGCCCCCAUUAGCUGCCCACCUCCUGCUUGAAACACGCCGCAGAACAUCUGGAAGCCCUAGGAGGCCGUUUCUUUGACAACCUUCGAUUUAAAAGCUCAUGGAAAUUCUUGCUCCAACUGCUGUGACGU